rnacentral:tRNA from 1 species
UCAGUGGUGGCUCAGUGGUAGAAUUUUUGCCUUCCAUGCAGGAAACCCAGGUUCAAUUCCCGGCCAAGGCA